GCUCCUGAAAGCAACACAAUAAUAUCUGAGAGAGAACCAGAGAGGAGCCAACAGGAGGCCUCAGGACAGGAUCUCUGCAGAAUGGAUCUGGACAUUAAAUGGUGGAAGAAGAAGUCUGAGCUGGGAACCUCCUCAGAUCCUCUGCUGUCUCAGAGACAUGAAGCCACAUGUGAAGCUGAACAGACUGCAGAACACAUCAUCUCCACCGGCCCUUUAUAUAGACCAGCCUCUUCGACUUAGGACCAGAGAUGCGGGCAUGGCUACACGACACAGAGUUGGACCUCUGACGUUACACGAAAGAUGUGAAGCUGAA